AUCUGGCCCCACCUCAGGUUACUACCAAGUAGUUGCUGUGGGUGGAUGAGGACUUUCUUUUCACUGAAGAAAGGAAGAUUGAGGUUCUGGUGGAUGUUCUGGAAAAAAUAGAGUUGGAUGUGGUGGCAGUGUGGCUGGGAAUUCAUUCCUGUUCAAGCUGCUGUUGGCCGAAGGUGAAGAUGGUAGCUGCAUUCACAUGCGAGUAGGAUCCUUCCAGGACUUGAAUGGCUUCCCCAAUUGUGUGAUAACAAGUGGUAUUCCAGUUUCUUCUUGGCUCACACAGAGAAGCUUCCAUGGGAUUGGUUUUGAUCCUAGGCUGCAGAGAGUAGUACAUUCAGGAUUUUUUGUUGACGGUAUGGGGAGUUUUCAAGUAGAAUCUUGUUCAGAUGUGAUGGUUCAUCACCAGCUCCAAGACCUGGCACCUGGAUCAGAGAAUUCUCCCUUGAAGAAAUCCUAUAGCUAAUUCCAGUUCAAUUCUGAGGUAGAGAUCCAGUACAAGAUGGCCCUUCACUUCUUCAAGAACCAUCUCCAUUGCUGUACUGAGGGCUGAGGGUGUAAAGAAGGAGGAAUAGGCUACAGGAAUAAAAAGAGGAAAAUACAGAGUAAAUAAGGCAAUCAGUAAGACAAACAAUAAAGAAUGGUAUAGAUAAAAACAGAGCCAGUUGGUA